UUGCCCCCUAGCUUCCAGUUGGUUCUGGCCUAUGGUGAGCAUCAACAGACGAUCCAACAAAGGGAAGAGUGGAAAGUCUGGAUAUUUAUUCCCUUCGCUCUCAUCCUAUGGGGGUCAUCAGAGGCUGGCUACCUCUCUUCACUGAAGAAUAGCUCCCAGGAGGAGCCAAGAUGGCAGAAUAGCAUGGAAGUUUUGUGUGUGUCUUGCGUCCAUGAAAUACAGGCAGACCAACACUAAACCAUCCUACACACCUAGAAAACUGAUCUGAGGAUUAACACAACAAUCUGCACAACCUGAACCACAGAAUUCAGCAGAGACUGUCUCCAAUUUUUAGGCAUGACUGCCAAGGAAAUGACCUUCUGCCAACCCAUACUGGGUACUUGCCUGUCUGAAGACCAGAAUUCACUCAGAAUAACAGCAUAUCUUCCAAGAAAUCUUUUUUUUUUUAACCUCAAAAUUUUAUACAAAAGUAGGUCAUUUAAAAUAUAAAAAGACAUUCUUACUUGGUCCUCAAAAGAUAGAGCCUGGGCAACAUCUCUUGGAAAUCCAUCGAUAACAAUGCCCUCUUCAUCAGGUAUUUGCAUCAAUUUCUGUUUUAUCUCUGUAAUUGUUGUUUCCUUUUGUAAAUACAAAAAUAUAAAAAACCACAGUUAGUUAAACUUGCACUCACAGCUGGUACAAAAAUCUUCGCAGAAU